AGGAAAUGAGAAUAUAGCUGGGACUAGUCGGGAAAUGGAUUGACGGUCCAGAUGGUUGCAUUAGUAGUCCUCACUAUUCUAUGAAAUAGUGUGAUAAUAAAUGUAUUGAGGACUCCAUUUGAGUUUGAAUACUGUCCAGAAGAUAAUAUUUGUAUUAAAACUCUCAGUUUAUGGUUUAUCGUAUUUUACACGACAGUUGUAUUAUUAAGUUGUAUUUGAAUUUUGUACCAUGUAUUUGGCGACUCAAGAUGGGUGAUGUAUACCUAUUUUGGGGGCGUCACAUGUAGUGCAAAGAUGAAUGAUUACUUGAUGAAUAUCUUUGGCCCGUAUUGCAAAGAUGGACAGGUGUUGAGAUGAACAUGACCAACUGGUGAUACAAAUGAAUAUCUUUGGCCUGUUGUGCAAAGAUGAAUAUUUGAUUCAGGAUGUAUAUUGAUUGAUAUUACAAGGAUAAAUAUUGAUGAUGG
rnacentral:lncRNA from 1 species